GGAUACGACCUGGCCCGACAUCGGGACAGGUGGAAAGUUCCGGCGGUCAAGGGAUGGGCUCGCGGCCUAUCAGCUAGUUGGUGAGGUAACGGCUCACCAAGGCUUCGACGGGUAGCCGGCCUGAGAGGGCGACCGGCCACACUGGGACUGAGAUACGGCCCAGACUCCUACGGGAGGCAGCAGUGGGGAAUAUUGCACAAUGGGCGAAAGCCUGAUGCAGCAACGCCGCGUGCGGGAUGACGGCCUUCGGGUUGUAAACCGCUUUCAGCUCCGACGAAGCGCAAGUGACGGUAGGAGCAGAAGAAGGACCGGCCAACUACGUGCCAGCAGCCGCGGUGAUACGUAGGGUCCGAGCGUUGUCCGGAAUUAUUGGGCGUAAAGGGCUUGUAGGCGGUUCAUCACGUCGGAAGUGAAAACUCAGGGCUUAACCCUGAGCCUGCUUCCGAUACGGGUGGACUAGAGGGAUGCAGGGGAGAAUGGAAUUCCUGGUGGAGCGGUGGAAUGCGCAGAUAUCAGGAGG
rnacentral:rRNA from 1 species